ensembl:lncRNA
CAGACCAGUCUCUCUCCAUCUGGAGCUGGUACUGCAGAUACUUUGGGCUCGAAAAUUCAAUGAAGGGGAAGAGGAAAGGGAAUUCAGUUUCUGUGGGUCAUUGUCUUUCUUGCUCUUCUCCUUUGUUUUUCUUCCUCCUUUAUUCCUUUUCCUCUCUGAUUUGGUCCGGUGCAUUUUCCAGCUCCACAGCUUUGAAAUCUGUGUUAUCCCUGAACUGCAGCUUUCUGACCAAGCUCUGAGUAGCCACUUGUUCAAGGAGAAUGGAGAAAGGAGUGACCUGAACCCAAACUACAGCCUGAUGCAAGCCCAGCUGAACCUUAAUGAGAUCAGCAGAAUCCCAGCCAUCCCACAGGCACUGGCUCAGAUCAACUACAGUUACCAUUAACCCACAGCUGAAUGAAAGACUUUGCAUAAGAACUACCCAAGGAAUCCCAGACAACCCGCAUAAAUGUGAGACAUAAUAAUAAAUUGAUAUUUGAACCACUAGGUCUUGGGGUG